UACAGAGGGUGCAAGCGUUGUUCGGAAUUACUGGGCGUAAAGCGCGUGUAGGCGGCUUUUUAAGUCGGACGUGAAAUCCCUGGGCUUAACCCAGGAACUGCGUCCGAUACUAUCAGGCUAGAGUGUCGGAGGGGGUGGCGGAAUUCCCGGUGUAGAGGUGAAAUUCGUAGAUAUCGGGAGGAACACCUGUGGCGAAGGCGGCUGCCUGGCCCAAUACUGACACUCAGGUGCGACAGCGUGGGGAGCAAACAGG
rnacentral:rRNA from 1 species